rnacentral:rRNA from 1 species
AGAGUUUGAUCCUGGCUCAGGACGAACGCUGGCGGCGUGCCUAACACAUGCAAGUCGAACGGAAGCAAAGAUUUCGGUUUUUGCUUUAGUGGCGAACGGGUGAGUAACGCGUGAGGAACCUGCCUUUCAGUGGGGGACAACAGUUGGAAACGACUGCUAAUACCGCAUAAUGCUUUUGAGUGGCAUCACUUAAAAGUCAAAGAUUUAUUGCUGAAAGAUGGCCUCGCGUCUGAUUAGCUAGUUGGUGGGGUAACGGCCCACCAAGGCGACGAUCAGUAGCCGGUCUGAGAGGAUGAACGGCCACAUUGGGACUGAGAUACGGCCCAGACUCCUACGGGAGGCAGCAGUGGGGAAUAUUGGGCAAUGGGGGAAACCCUGACCCAGCAACGCCGCGUGAAGGAAGAAGGCCUUCGGGUUGUAAACUUCUUUUACCAGGGGCGAAAGAAAUGACGGUACCUGGAGAAAAAGCAACGGCUAACUACGUGCCAGCAGCCGCGGUAAUACGUAGGUUGCGAGCGUUGUCCGGAUUUACUGGGUGUAAAGGGCGUGUAGGCGGAGAUGCAAGUUGGGAGUGAAAUCCAUGGGCUCAACCCAUGAACUGCUUCCAAAACUGUAUCCCUUGAGUAUCGGAGAGGCAAGCGGAAUUCCUAGUGUAGCGGUGAAAUGCGUAGAUAUUAGGAGGAACACCAGUGGCGAAGGCGGCUUACUGGACGAUAACUGACGCUGAGGCUCGAAAGCGUGGGGAGCAAACAGGAUUAGAUACCCUGGUAGUCCACGCCGUAAACG